rnacentral:rRNA from 1 species
AUGGCCACCACCAUCAGGAGCGGAGUCACCACCUGCACUGGCUGGGCGGCCACCCGACCUUGCCGGCGGCUACCACUGGAUCGGACAAGAAGGUUACCCCAACUCCAACGGCCUUCCUUGUCGACCACAUUCUUGCCUCAAAUAAGAUGCCCGGGCCUGUGGCGAUCGAGAGUCCGUUCCACCUCAGACACGAGUGGGGCUCCUCCGGUGACUGCCCCGGAACCAGUUGGUGCCGGCGAGGUGCUGCUAGAGGCGGCGGGGAGCUUCCGCAUCUACAAGAGCGGGAAGAUAGACCGCCUCAACGAUCCCACCAUCCUGCCCGCCGGCGUCGACGAGGCCACCGGCGUCACCUCCAAGGACGUCGUCCUCGACGCGGACACGGGCCUCUCCGUGCGCCUCUACCUUCCCAACAAGCUCCAGGACGCCUCCGCGAAGCUCCCGGUCGUCGUCUACUUCCACGGCGGCGCCUUCCUCAUCGGGUCGGCCCGCGACCCCACGUACCACAAGUACCUCAACGCCCUCGCCGCGGCGGCCGGCGUCCUCGCGGUGUCCGUCGACUACCGCCUGGCCCCGGAGCACCGGCUCCCCGCCGCCUACGACGACUCCUGGGCCGCGCUCCUGUGGGCGGCCUCGGCGCAGGACAAAUGGAUCGCCGACCACGGCGACGCCUCCCGCCUGUUCGUCGCGGGCGACAGCGCCGGCGCCAACAUCGCGCACGAGAUGCUCGUGAGGGACGGCGGCCCAAGAAUCGAGGGCGCGAUACUGCUGCACCCGUGGUUCAGCGGGAACGCGGCGAUCGAGGGGGAGCCCCCGGCCGCGGCCAAGGUCACGGGGCUCCUCUGGUCCUACGCGUGCCGGGGGUCGGCGGUGGGCGGCGCGGACGACCCGAGGAUGAACCCGCUGGCAUCGCCGGCGCUGGAGAGGCUCGGGUGCGCGAGGAUGCUGGUGACCACGGGGCUCGAGGACGGGCUCGCGGCGCGGAACCGCGCGUACUACGAGGCCGUGGCCGCGAGCGGGUGGCGCGGGAGGGCGGCGUGGCUGGAGCUGGAGGGGGAGGGCCACGUGUUCUUCCUUGGGAAGCUCGAGUGCGACAACGCCAAGCGGCUCAUGGACCGCGUCGUCGCGUUCAUAGCCGACGCAUGA